CUACGGGUCGCUCCAGUGGGGAAUAUUGCACAAUGGAGGAAACUCUGAUGCAGCAACGCCGCGUGGAGGAUGACACUUUUCGGAGCGUAAACUCCUUUUAUAUAGGAAGAAGAUGACGGUACUAUAUGAAUAAGCGCCGGCUAGCUCCGUGCCAGCAGCCGCGGUAAUACGGAGGGCGCAAGCGUUACUCGGAAUCACUGGGCGUAAAGAGCGUGUAGGCGGAUUAAAAAGUCAGAAGUGAAAUCCUAUAGCUUAACUAUAGAACUGCUUCUGAAACUCUUAAUCUAGAAUGUGGGAGAGGUAGAUGGAAUUUCUGGUGUAGGGGUAAAAUCCGUAGAGAUCAGAAGGAAUACCGAUUGCGAAGGCGAUCUACUAGAACAUUAUUGACGCUGAGACGCGAAAGCGUGGGGAGCAAACAGGAUUAGAUACCCGCGUAGUC
rnacentral:rRNA from 1 species